GUUGAAACAGCGGUUCCCGUACGAGCACCGAAGUUAAGCACCAUUGAGUCUGGUCAGUACUUACACGGGUGACCGCUUGGGGAUACCAGGUACUGUAAG